rnacentral:lncRNA from 10 species
CUUCCUUACAAAAAACUUUUUCAGGGCUGCCAGACAAGGUCCACACCAAUUCCUUCAAUCAAACAGUAUUUGCAGAACUCAUAAAAGCAUGCUAGCCUUUGUACACACACAUCCCUGAAAGCCACACUGCACUCUGUCCGCAGAAACAGGGAGGUUCAACAAGUCAGCUACCACAAUAAAGUUACUAAAGAUACGAGGUGCACCAUGAAAUGACUAUUCAGACAGCUCAGAUAAACUCACCAACAUUACUGCAGCUAUAAGGGAAUUAAGGACACCUAUUAGUGAUUGCUUAACAAGUAAACUUAUUAAAUACCAUUUAAGUCACUUUACUUAGCAACUAUUGACUUUUUUUUUUUUUUGGCUAGGCUAAUGGACUACAAAAGAGUUAGAUAAGCACUUCAAAAAGUUUCAGAAGAGAAUAGAUUCCUUCUGCCAAAUUCACAUAUUAUCUCUCUACUCACAAGGAUAAAAUAGUUACAAAUGGUGUUUAAACUGCUAAUUUUGUAUUAAAUGGUGAACCCAAGAUUAUCUCCAAAGCAUAACACUCCUCAUAAUGGAUAGCUCGCUCACCAGACAAACUACUGUUGAGAAAGAGUGACACGUUAAAACAUUGCAGAUAAAAACUGCAAACUUCAAAAGUCUCCUUCAAAAAGUCAAGUGCCACGCUAGAGCGUCUUUUUUUUUUUUUUUUUUUUUUUUAGAAGGCUGUAAAUCAAACAUUUCUAAAACCAUCAGGACACAAUGAAAGCCUCAAAGAAAGACAAGAAGUUGCCAAGGAGCAAGACUUAAAUGUUUAGGAAUCUUCAGCAAAGCAUCAUCUCUAAAACUUAUAAAGAUCAUAAUUACAACUUUUUUUAAGUCCAAAAGCAUUAACAUAGAUAGUCAAAGGGCUCAAUGAAGGAGUUUCCUCUUCUAUUUACCCUACAGAAGUUUUCGGAUGGGGAUAAGAGCCCGGUAAGGCAAUGCUGCUGAUUAAUCGCAUGGGCCUGGGUACCUCCUCCAGCUUUGUAAGGGCACACCUCUACGGAGUCAAGCUGCACAGCUCUCCCUGUCCUAUGAAGGCAGGGCUUUGAGUCUGCACCCAAGGAAGGAAAAGGACACCACGGAACAGGCUGUCUACGCUGCGGGCUGCUAUGCAAUCAUUCCAUGGAGUCCCCUUCUUUUCAUUCAUAACUCACCCAAGAGUAAAGCACAGAAGGCCCACAAAGCUUAGGCCCUGCAGACAUCCGAUCACCCCAAAGAUUCAAAGACAAGCCAACCUUUACGAAUCGCCCCCAUCCGAGGCGCGCAUAUUAACUGCCAUUAUUAGUGCGCUGGCUGUCUAGUAACAAGUUGAUAAAAUCACGGCCAAGGAAGCGGGAAGACAUCCACCCAGCUAACCAUCCGCAGAAGCUUCAGUUGAGAGUCCCUCCUCCAAAGAGUAGGCACGGCUUAAAGGUCUCCCUAGCCAGUUUCCUUUGGAAUGUAGAUCUCUUUCAUUUGGUCCAAGGUGGAGGUCCUGUCAGUGAGAUACGCCAUCUCCCCAUUUGCAGGUCCUUCGCAUCAGUCUUUGGCCGAGGGACGGGCAGGCGGUAUCCCUCCCACCCUCUGUAAUGUGAAGCAUGCAGCGAGGGCUGCCUUCCAUCGCCACUCCAGGGAACCCCCGAUCCCCACUCCUCGACCAGCUCCGCCUCCUCCCCUGCCUGCUGCUGCUUGUCCAGAGCCCCGCAGAAGGGUCACCGGCGCCCAGGUGAGGCGGACGGCAGGUUCCGGGGAAGAACCCGACGUUGUGCAGCCCUUCAGACAAACCUGGCCGCACCCAAAAAGAACAUGCAUGGAUGGAAAAGCAAAGCCUGCAACCUGAAACGAGCCACCCCAUCCCUCAUCACUUGUCUUUUCAAAGUUGGCAUUCAACAGCCCCGGAGACUGUAAUUCAGACACCGCCCCCAAAAGAAGUCUGGAAACUUUGAGUCUCGCCACGUGCAGGCCAGAGGAGUCCAACACCAUUAUCACCCUCUAUGCACAGACUGCUGGCUGCCAAACUAACAUAUCUAAGGCACGUGCUCAAGGGCUCAGAGGUUCCCAGUCACCCAGAAAAUAAACUUUUAAUUCCCUGCCCCUUUUUGGAACAUGCCUUUUCCUUCCUCAUCUAGUCCUCUGAGAAUUGAACCCCUCCUUCAAAAGCCAGAUCCAAUUCCCACUUCCUCCGUGGAGUCUUCCUUCCCUGGCCAGAAUAGCUUUGUUCAGAUAUUUGCAAAUAUUUGGUUAGGAUGAAUCUGCUUCUACUUGCUACCACACCCAAAAUGUUAAAAAGACAAAAAGAAAGAAAGAAAACUCAUUAAGAAUUUUCUUGAGUAAACAACUUACCAAGGUUACAUUUUAAAGCUGAAAAAAAAAAUUUAACGUGCAACAGAAAACACACUUGAAAAAAAUCCACAGAUCUCUAUUACCACAUUUGGACCACCCAGAGCUUCCGCUCAGGAGGGAGGCACCUGGGAAAGCAGGACUCUGGAGGGAGUGGCUUUUUAGUUUCUCCAAAACCGGGCCUAACCAGUGCUGCCUGCAACUGGGCACCAUUGGUCCUGACAAUGACCCCUACAAGGUCUUAUUUUUUUCAUUUAGAUAUAGCGUCUCCCUCUGUCGCACAGGCUGGCGUGCGGUGGUGUGAUCACAGCUCACUGUGCCCAAGUAUCGAACUUCUGUGCCCAAGUAUCCUCCCAGCUUAGCCUCCUGAGUAGCUGGGACUACAGGUGCC